UACGAAGGGGGCUAGCGUUGCUCGGAAUCACUGGGCGUAAAGCGCACGUAGGCGGAUUGUUAAGUCAGGGGUGAAAUCCUGGAGCUCAACUCCAGAACUGCCUUUGAUACUGGCGAUCUUGAGUCCGGGAGAGGUGAGUGGAAUUCCCAGUGUAGAGGUGAAAUUCGUAGAUAUUGGGAAGAACACCAGUGGCGAAGGCGGCUCACUGGCCCGUAACUGACGCUGAGGUGCGAAAGCGUGGGGAGCAAACAGG
rnacentral:rRNA from 1 species